rnacentral:rRNA from 1 species
AUUGAACGCUGGCGGCAUGCCUUACACAUGCAAGUCGAACGGCAGCACGGGAGCUUGCUCCUGGUGGCGAGUGGCGAACGGGUGAGUAAUACAUCGGAACGUACCCUGAAGUGGGGGAUAACGUAGCGAAAGUUACGCUAAUACCGCAUAUUCUGUGAGCAGGAAAGAGGGGGAUCGCAAGACCUCUUGCUUUAGGAGCGGCCGAUGUCGGAUUAGCUAGUUGGUGAGGUAAAGGCUCACCAAGGCGACGAUCCGUAGCGGGUCUGAGAGGAUGAUCCGCCACACUGGGACUGAGACACGGCCCAGACUCCUACGGGAGGCAGCAGUGGGGAAUUUUGGACAAUGGGCGCAAGCCUGAUCAGCCAUGCCGCGUGAGUGAAG